rnacentral:rRNA from 1 species
ACACAUGCAAGUCGAGCGGUAGAGAGAAGCUUGCUUCUCUUGAGAGCGGCGGACGGGUGAGUAAUGCCUAGGAAUCUGCCUGGUAGUGGGGGAUAACGCUCGGAAACGGACGCUAAUACCGCAUACGUCCUACGGGAGAAAGCAGGGGACCUUCGGGCCUUGCGCUAUCAGAUGAGCCUAGGUCGGAUUAGCUAGUUGGUGGGGUAAUGGCUCACCAAGGCGACGAUCCGUAACUGGUCUGAGAGGAUGAUCAGUCACACUGGAACUGAGACACGGUCCAGACUCCUACGGGAGGCAGCAGUGGGGAAUAUUGGACAAUGGGCGAAAGCCUGAUCCAGCCAUGCCGCGUGUGUGAAGAAGGUCUUCGGAUUGUAAAGCACUUUAAGUUGGGAGGAAGGGCAGUAACCUAAUACGUUGCUGUCUUGACGUUACCGACAGAAUAAGCACCGGCUAACUCUGUGCCAGCAGCCGCGGUAAUACAGAGGGUGCAAGCGUUAAUCGGAAUUACUGGGCGUAAAGCGCGCGUAGGUGGUUUGUUAAGUUGGAUGUGAAAUCCCCGGGCUCAACCUGGGAACUGCAUUCAAAACUGACAAGCUAGAGUAUGGUAGAGGGUGGUGGAAUUUCCUGUGUAGCGGUGAAAUGCGUAGAUAUAGGAAGGAACACCAGUGGCGAAGGCGACCACCUGGACUGAUACUGACACUGAGGU